rnacentral:misc_RNA from 1 species
AGCAUAUUGGUCUCAUGAACAGGUAUCUCUGAGGUUCCUCUUGGCCAAGAUAGAGCUUAAUUUCCUUUGUCAACAAAGCACCUGCUUCAUAAGUUAAUGGCAAAAGUGAUAUAACCAUCUUUUGAUGGAAAUCUGGAUCUUCGUAGAUAAUCUUUCUGUCAGUUGCACCUUCUUUGGGUGAUGAUAGGUGGGCGAAACCUUUUCUCCCAUCACCUUCAGUAAAGAUGUGCUGGGCCUUCUUGUGCUGUUGGUCUUUUGAAAGGUCUAAAAAACUGGUUAAUUGUUGUUACAAUAUUUAGAUGCUGAUGGAAUUUCAAUUGGGUAGGUGUUGG